AUGUUCCUGAAUCUGUUCAUAUACAUAAGUUUGAUGCUAUCAGUCUCAGGUGAAAAGGGUGACAUGACUGUUCACCAGAAACCUUACAAUCUGAUAAUAAAUUACGGCGAAUCUCCUGAAAUUAAGUGCUUCCACAAAAUCCCAGGCUAUGACCGCCUGUUGUGGUACAAGCAAUCCCAGAGUGAAGAGUUAACAUUCAUGGGAUAUCUACUUGGUGACACUGGAUACUCAGAAAAAGCUUUCCAGAACAAAAUUAAAAUACGUGGUGAUGCAAAUAAUUUUCAUGGCUCUUUAACUCUGAUCAAUUCUACAUCAGAAAACAGUGCUGUUUAUUUCUGUGCAGCCUAUUACACAGUAACACUAAAUUUGUUCCUCCCUUACAAAAACCCAGUACUAAGAAUUAUUGUUUAUAAUCCUACACCUGUGAUAAACCACUGCUAGAUAAUAUAAUGCUCUUUUUCAGAGCCUAGUGAGUUCCCUUCCUACUUACACAGGCAGCUGCCAUCUGUGGCAUUCUGAUACAAACUGAGCUUUAAAUUUAAAUGAUUUUGAACACUCCAUAUGAAUAACUUCAUAUGAAGUGACUCACCUACAACUGAUUUCAAUAGUAUGAUUAUUUUGCUAGUGACACAAACACCUCCAAUUAAAACUUUCCAAUCAGAUCAAAAAUUCCUUACUUAGUCUUAGUGUAUAUGCAAGACAUUUGUUUUCUGUUGUUGUCUGUAAUGGCCAAACACAUUUAAAUUACUAAAAGUUAUAGUUCACCCAAAAAUGAAAAUUUGAUGUUUAUCUGCUUACCACCAGGGCAUCCAAGAUGUAGGUGACUUUGUUUCUUCAGUAGAACACAGACCAAGAUUUUUAACUCAAACCGUUGCAGUCUAUCACUCUUAUAAUGUAAGUGGAUGGGAAUCAUGGCUAAAACAUACAAUUAAACAAAACAAACAAAAAAACUUAAACUCUGCGGAUCGUGACGAUACAUUGAUGUGUAUUGAUUCACGCAAUGUCCGAACUGUUAGAACUCUCCUGAGCGCGUCCUCCUGACUGCUUUCUCAGAAGCAGGCGCAUGAGGAGUCGUCUUCUUCUUCUUGCUUUAUGGCGGAUCACAGACAUAUAAGUGCAUUACCGCCACCUAUCUCGCAAGUGGACCACUGACACUCCUAAUUGAAAUUGUAGAUAGAGAGUCAAUGGUCCACUUGAGAUGUAGGUGGCAGUAAAAAAAAAACAAAACAAAAAAAACAGAAAAACACCCACUUAGCAAUUGGAGCAGAUUCUUUGUUAAAACACAAAGCUGGGAGAAGGAUUUUAAGCAGAGAGCAUCAGCUGUGAGGAACGGGGCAUCUUUAGACCUGACUCUUGCCAAAGUACAGCGCUCUGACAGUGGUGUUUAUUACUGUUCAAAGCAGGAGGCACAUCAGUGUAACCCAAUCUAUAGUCUCAACAAAAACAUGCAGAUUCACAUCUAACACCUGUUCAUCUGUCAAUGAAUGAAAUUCAUUACUAUAGGGAUGAGUUGAUAAGGGAUGUUCAGUCUCACGUGAGAUUUUUC
rnacentral:lncRNA from 12 species